GUGGAGACCCUUUUUGUUUCAUCUGAUUACAAAAGGGACAAAUACGUUACUUUUGAUACAUAAAGGACAGUUUUGUACAUAACUAAUACGUAAAUGACCAAAACGAAUAAUUAACCGCAAUUCCCCCAACUACAUCCAAUAACCAAAAAUCCAUUCACAGCCAGAAGGUGGAGUGCGGGCCAAGGAAACUUUUGAACCUAUAGCCUGCCAUGUCAUCCUUUACUUGCUUCAGUCCCAAGGAAACAUGUGUCAUGGUUUCAGAGGUUUCUUCAGCAAAAUGUGAUCAUGGGAUUCUUCAUUCUUCUGGCUGGGGGGAAAAAAGUAAACAAAAGGUUUGUUUUACAUCUGAUGUCGUCUCAAAGUAGUGUUUGUUGAUUCUGACGAGUGUACAUGGUUGGUGGAUUUGUGGGUUCAUGGCUUGUUUGUUACAAUAAGUGUUGCCAUUGGUCUUCAGAGAUUGCACAUACAUAAAACAGAGAAAAAUCAAAAUGGAAGGCUGAACAGGAUGAACGAGAGGCUUAAGGGUUCAAGGUUUAACUACAACUGAAUCUCAAAUAAUCACUCACAUUAGUUUUAUAACUGACUCCAUACGUCGGGGAGCAAACCAAGAAAGAUGUUCUGGGAUUAUUUAAAUACUGAUAUAAUGUUUACGGUUCUUGAGAUCGUACUAGACAGCCUGAUCCGGAAACGGUAAAACACAAACCUCGAUCCGAUCUUAUUGGAGCAAACCAUAACAAUCCUUGAUCCUGACAUCAGGCUUCUUCAUACUUAGGGUUUUGUAUAAGGUUUCAAGAUAUUCAAAGUGAUCACAAGGUUUGUAUCCCAGAGGAUGAGCUUCAUCCACAAACUCCUUGGGCGGCUGGAUCUUGGUGCCUUUCUUCACGUAAGAAAAUAGUCCAACACUGUACCUUACUUCUUUUUCCUUUGAUGGUAUUACUUGAUGCAAUACACUUCGUAUUCUGUUAUUACUCCAUGCCUGAAUUUCCAUCAUGGACCAAUGAAAAUCGAUGGUUAAUAAAUACCACACAACUCUAUUAUCAGAACAAUUCUACUUAGCCUACUAUCCGUAUAUAUAGAGCUUCGGAUCAGACAUACAUACAAUGGUUUAAGUGGGUGUAUAUAAGAUUUCUAAGUAUGAAUCUAGCAUGGCACUAGUUUAUAUUCAAGGAUUUAAAAGUUCAAAGAAUUUAAGGAUGAGAUGAGCCAUUAUAUGCAUCAUGUAAAGGGUUUGACUCAUUGAUUAAUAUAAAGAAUGAGAUGAACCAUUAGAUGUAUCAUGUAAAGAGUUUGAUCCACUUCAUCUUCCGGCAUGUCUCCAAUGAGUUUUCAUACUUAUUUUUUUUUAUAACUAGCGAUACGACUAUAAUAUUAUAUAACUAGUUAUACGUAGCAUUUUAUUGAAGAAAAGAGAUGAUGAUGAGUCUCGGAAAAAAACAAUCUAGCGAACAAAAAAGGAAGAAAAAUUACAGCACGACAUGACAAGAAGAACAUGAAAAGAUUUCACAAUUGAUUUCAUUGUCUCCAAAGAUCCAGAUUCGCAAGAAACGAAUUGGUCAAUGUAGCUGAGCACGAUUAUGAUCGCCCAACAAAACUUCCAAAUAUAAAACAGCUCAAGCUAAAGAAAUGUAGCAAACCAGCAGCAGCAAAGAGAAGAACUCAUUAGUUACGACAUAAAUAACUAGUUAUACAGAGAAAAAACUAGUUACAGUACUAAAUAUAACUAAUCAUUCAAAGAAAUAUGUAGUUAAAGGAUUAAAAAUAUAACAAGUUAUAAUUUACAAAAUAGAACUAGUUUUAAACUUUGGGUAAUCAAAAUAAGCAUGUAUGUGACUACCCAUGAGUGCAUCCCCCGCGAAAACCAAGAAGGACGACGGCGUAGUAAGGUCAACGUCAACCCAACGUUGUGGAUCGAUCGGUGGUUGGAUUUGCAAGCCGUUGACUUGGUUCUGAUGAAGUAUGGACAGAAAGGUAAAAUCUUUAUGAGGAUUGACGCUCAGAUCAGUACCGGAGGUUUGAUUAGACGACGGCAAUGGGAACUUAGAGUAUCGAAUUAGGUGAUUCAUCGACUCAGGUCCAAACCCUAAUUCGACAACCUCGUAGCUUUCCAUCACCAUCUUCAAUAUCAUGUCGAAUAGUUCCACCAUUAGCUUCGACAUGGAAAGACUCGACUGGCUAUAAUAGAUUAACCACAAAGAUAGUUAAAUAAUGCAUAUGAGUUAGUGGUAUCAAUCAUACAAAAAAAUUAUAUCUACUUCUACAUCAAAAGAAGUGUUGGCGACCUAAAGAUAUCGAAUUGAGUAAAAAUUUAGAAGGUUAGAUGGAAAUAAUGUUUCACCAGAAGGCAUCAUUUCCAGAAUCCGGCCACAUAAGAUUGGUGAAGCCUUGAGUGGUAUCGAGGCUUGUCGGGUUAUCGAUUCCUAGUGAUUCGUGAGUAUGACUGUUGAGAGGACUCAGCACGGAACCUCCGAAAAAGGGCUUAGUGCUGGUGUUCUUGUUUUUUAUCUCAUCUGGAAGAUCGAACAGCUCUUUUACCGUCUCGAAAAUCGAAAUCUCGCCGGCACCUGUGUAUAUGGCCUUGAAACACCCGACCUCUUCCAUCGCCCUUCUCACGGUUGUCCGAGCAGAAACCCAUGAAUUGGUUCCCGGCUUCACUCCCGAGAAAUAUAUAACAGGAAUACUGCUGGGAGCUGCCAUAGCUAGCCUGGUUGUUGUUUUUCUCUGGGUGGACUUUUCGGGUUUAUGUGUUGAUCAAAAGCUCGAGAUGAGUAGUAGUAUUUCUUUAAAAACCCCGUCUCCUAUUAUAUACUAUGGAAAAAUCUUUUCGUUUAUUAUUUUUGAAUUUCCUAGUAUUAGUGAAUUGCCAAGAAGGUGGUUGGCAGCCAAUUGUUGAAUUUCCUGGGUUUGUUAGCCACCCUCUCUACAUUUCUAUUUUUACCUUUUUAAGUAUUAUUCUAUAAAUAUCAGUUCCAGCAGAACUGUCCCAAAAAAAGUAUUGUUUUGAUAGAAAUGUAAGGUUCUUGAGAUCGGAGUAGACAGCCUGAUCAGGACACGGUAAAACCGAAACCUCAACCCGAUCUUAUUUGAGCAAAGCAUAACAAUUCUGGAUCCUGAUCACAGGCUUCUUCAUAGUUAGGUCUCUGUAUAAGGUUUCAAGAUAUUCAAAGUGAUCAAAAGGUUUGUAUCCCAGAGGAUGAGCUUCAUCCACAAACUCUUU
rnacentral:lncRNA from 1 species